rnacentral:rRNA from 1 species
UCGGGAAUUUUGGGCAAUGGGGGAAACCCUGACCCAGCAACGCCGCGUGAAGGAUGAAGUAUUUCGGUAUGUAAACUUCGAAAGAAUAGGAAGAAUAAAUGACGGUACUAUUUGUAAGGUCCGGCUAACUACGUGCCAGCAGCCGCGGUAAUACGUAGGGACCAAGCGUUGUUCGGAUUUACUGGGCGUAAAGGGCGCGUAGGCGGCGUGGUAAGUCAUCUGUGAAAUCUCCGAGCUUAACUCGGAACGGUCAGAUGAUACUGCUGUGCUAGAGUACAGAAGGGGCAAUCGGAAUUCUUGGUGUAGCGGUGAAAUGCGUAGAUAUCAAGAGGAACACCUGAGGUGAAGACGGGUUGCUGGGCUGAUACUGACGCUGAGGCGCGAAAGCUAGGGUAGCAAACGGGAUUAGAUACCCUUGUAGUCCCUGAGCGGGCUGGCAAGGCGCAU